rnacentral:rRNA from 1 species
GACGAACGCUGGCGGUGUGCUUAACACAUGCAAGUCGAACGGUAAGGCCCUUUCGGGGGUACACGAGUGGCGAACGGGUGAGUAACACGUGAGUAACCUGCCCUCAUCUCUGGGAUAACAGUCGGAAACGGUUGCUAAUACUGGAUAUGAGCUUGCAAGGCAUCUUGUGGGUUGGAAAGAUUUUUUUUGGUUGGGGAUGGACUCGCGGCCUAUCAGCUUGUUGGUGAGGUAGUGGCUCACCAAGGCUUCGACGGGUAGCCGGCCUGAGAGGGCGACCGGCCACACUGGGACUGAGAUACGGCCCAAACUCCUACGGGAGGCAGCAGUGGGGAAUAUUGCACAAUGGACGGAAGUCUGAUGCAGCAACGCCGCGUGCGGGAUGACGGCCUUCGGGUUGUAAACCGCUUUCAAUUGUGACGAAGCUUUUUUGUGACGGUAGCAGUAGAAGAAGCACCGGCUAACUACGUG